GUAGGUGGCAAGCGUUGUCCGGGAAUUAUUGGGGCGUAAAGCGCGCGCAGGCGGUUCGUUUAAGUCUGAUGUGAAAGCCCACGGGCUCAACCGUGGAGGGUCAUUGGAAACUGAGAACUUGAGUACAGAAGAGGAAAGCGGAAUUCCACGUGUAGCGGUGAAAUGCGUAGAGAUGUGGAGGAACACCAGUGGCGAAGGCGGCUUUCUGGUCUGUAACUGACGCUGAGGCGCGAAAGCGUGGGGAGCAAACAGGAUUAGAUACCCUGGUAGUCCACGCCGUAAACGAUGAGUGCUAAGUGUUAGGGGGUUUCCGCCCCUUAGUGCUGCAGCUAACGCAUUAAGCACUCCGCCUGGGGAGUACGGCCGCAAAGGCUG
rnacentral:rRNA from 1 species